GGAAUGUGAAUCGUAGUUCUAUUAAGUGGGAGUUACGAUAAUUGUGAAUGAUUAGUAAAAUUCGUUGAUUACUAAAAAAAUAUUAUAUGUUUAAUACUGUGAAAAAAGUAAUUGUAUUCAUGAUGAAGUGCAUAUGUGAAAACAGUUAUUAAGAGAACAACAUUUGAUGUUUUUAUGAACUAUGAAAAUAAUAAUUCUCUCAUCUGAGAUUUUUAUACAAAAGGAUACAGACCUGAUGCAUGAUGAAUUAUGGAGGUAAAGGCAUUGGGGUUAUCAUUUUAUCACUGAAGAAUGUAAACCUACCUGGAUUUUAUUGGAUUUUUAUCCUCAUUUUGAUCAUUUUACUUCGAUUCUCUGAUAUAAUUUAAGAAUAGGAAUUGCGCAGAAAAUGUCAUGCAAACUAUGGAAACCAUGGGAAAUUAUUCCGAACGACUGUUAUUACAUUACUUGAAGAUUUCUAAUGAACUGAAAGCAUUUAUUAUUCGUUUUCAAUUCGUAACUACAAUAAAAAAUUGGAAUAUGGAAAAAAAUAAUAUUCAAGCAUGUGAAUUGAAACGAACUGAAGUCAUUAGAAUGAUAAAAGAGAAUACUUAAAAAAAAGAGAAUAUUUUUGUAUGGUAAAUAAUAUUAAAUUAUAAAAUUGUAUUUGUGAAAAUAAACACAAAUCAAUGCAUCAUCUUCGUUUUAUCGUCUUACACAAAUCAAUGCAUCAUAUAAGAACAGAUUUUUCUUAUCACAAGGCUUUUAAAAGAACAUCAGAAUUUGAAUAAACGACAAAAUAAAUUUUUUGGAAUGAAAAAUAGCAAUGCAAGCAUAUUUACUGGUAUAAAAAGAACGUUAAACUGUAUAAAAUAUUUCGUAAUUUUUUCGCCUCGGAGAGCUUAUCGAAUUUUAAAAGACUACUGUAUUUGAAUCUGAGCACCGCGAGCAAAAAGAUAUUCUUUCAGUUUGAAAAGCCUUGAUAGUGAAUGUAUUGAAACAUAAAACCGCCUCAAGAUACCAUUCCAUGCGAACAUUUUCUUUAUUCAACAUACGGAGAAAAGGUAUAUUUGAGUAUAAAAGAACAUACUUUACGAACUAUAAUUUUUUAAAAGUAAAAAAAAAUAUUUACGAAAGUAAUUGUUUUGAGCGUUUCUCCAAAGAGUAGAAAACACUUAUAAUUUGUAUUUAUACAGUAAAAGAAGUAAGUGGGAGAAGGUUUUAAGUGGUAUUUUAGUGGAUUUGUGAAUGGUUUUGAGUUUUAAGCGUUGAUAAUGGGAAAUAAAGAUUUUAAAUUCACGCUAUAUUUUACUUGAUAGCUUCUAGAUUUCAAAACUAAAGUGACUGCCGAAUUAAAUUUUAGAAAUUAAU